rnacentral:rRNA from 1 species
CAGCCGCCACGGUAAUACGUAGGUGGCAAGCGUUGUCCGGAAUUAUUGGGCGUAAAGGGCUCGCAGGCGGUUUCUUAAGUCUGAUGUGAAAGCCCCCGGCUCAACCGGGGAGGGUCACUGGAAACUGGGAAAGUUGAGUGCAGAAGAGGAGAGUGGAAUUCCACGUGUAACGGUGAAAUGCGUAGAGAUGUGGAGGAACACCAGUGGCGAAGGCGACUCUCUGGUCUGUAACUGACGCUGAGGAGCGAAAGCGUGGGGAGCGAACAGGAUUAGAUACCCGUGUAGUCCCUGUCUCUUAUAC